UUUCUAGCCCAUGACAGACUGACGUAUCUAAAAAUCAUAGAUUAGGUAAAGAAUGUGUGCAAAUUAAAAUCCAUGCACAGAAACCUAUGUGAGAAGAAGGAGCGUUGUCAUCGCAGACGUUUAACUGGGCCUGGUUGAAGAUGGCUGAGCGUAAAACAGAAUGCAAGUCAGCUGGAGCACGUACUACUGGAGGCAGAGCCCCAUGAGAAGGGGCCAAGAACCCGCACCCAUCAAAAUCAAGAAGAAAGGCUGAACCCGGAGAGAAAAGGGAGCAACUGAUGUUGCCAUGCAGAUCCCUUGGUUGCUAUGAGAUGGUAACAUCACUCUGCCCCACCAUUGGCCAGUGCCUCCUCAGCUGCGGUGCCUCCCAGGCUGUGUGGUUCUCACGCGGGCCACUGACACAGAGCUGUUACUAUGGUGAACUUUACAAUUUCCUUUGAUUGGUGGAUUUCAGAAAUAGGCCAUCAGCGGAAUUCAUUAUAUUCAGCUAAGUAAAAAUGAAAAAUAAAUACUAUAACUUUCCCCUCAUCACUAACAUGAAGGAAACGUGACCCUUCAUGACAUAAUAAAUCGCUGUUCGGUAACUUAGGAUCCUUCAGGGGACUGAAGCGGGAUGAUCCUCCUAUGCCAAAUUUGGGUGGGAAAGAUAUUCCCUGUAGCUUUGAGUCGACUCUUCAGAGUUAAGGGCAGUGGGCCAACCAGAGUUGGAACUUCAGAGUUGGGAGGAGGUGUGGGAUGGGGCAUGCAUUGAAAUGUAAACUCUAUUGUCUCUGAAGUGAUGGGUGAUGCUGGGGGCCUGAGUGUGGAGGGCAGUUUUACAUCUCAGGACAAUGUUUUCUCAGAUGCUCUUCCAGAAAGAAAAGCCAGGAGUACUCCUGGCUGGAGGCGGCAUGCCUGAGGUCAGAGUCAAAGUAGGGUUUGUGCUGUCUGAAUCCUUUCUCCCACUCUCCCCAGCCUGGCUCAGCUUCUCAGCUUCUCAGGUGGAUUGGCCUCUGAGCCCAAGCCAAGCCAUCGCAUCCCCUGUGACUUGCCCGUAUAUAUGCCCAGAUGGCCUGAAGUAACUGAAGAAUCACAAAAGAAGUGAAUAUGCCUUGCCCCACCUUGACUGAUGACAUUCCACCACAAAAGAAGUGUAAAUGGCCGGUCCUUGCCUUAACUGAUGACAUUACCUUGUGAAAGUCCUUUUCCUGGCUCAUCCUGGCUCAAAAAGCACCCCCACUGAGCAUCUUGCGACUCCCACUCCUGCCCACUGAGCACCUUGUGACCCCCACUCCUGCCUGCCAGAGAACAAACCCCCUUUGACUGUAAUUUUCCUUUACCUACCCAAAUCCUAUAAAACGGCUCCACCCUUAUCUCCUUUUGCUGACUCUCUUUUCUGACUCAGCCCGCCUGCACCCAGGAGAUUAAAAGCUUUAUUGCUCACACAAA
rnacentral:lncRNA from 1 species